GCUCCACUGGCGGUUGGCUCCAACUUCUUGGUCCCUCCUCUUUCAUCUUUCCCUCCGCCUCCUCACCUUCGUAACUGCCACCCUCUUUGCCACACAUACGCACAGAAACACGCACGCUCACCUCCCGCAGUCUUCUAGCUGCUAGGCGCGCCUGCUCCACCGAUUUGCCACGUGAUUGUCUGAAAUCUUCAAGCAAUGUCCAAUUUGGCAAUGCAGGGUCGUUGUGUUUAAACUAUCGACACUGACGAAGUCAGCUUAGCAACACAAAUCAGACUACUCUAGUUUAACCAGUUACCAUCAUUCUUUACGUCUUCUUUUUUUUUGUGCCCAAAAGUAAAUAUUCUCGACUGUUCAUCUUCAAGGAAACGAUUGUCCUCUGCUGACGGCGAUGGCUGCCCCAGAUGAUGUAGACACAUCGCCUCAAUGAUGUUUGUUCGCAACUCAAUCACUCUCGUCUUAUGGCCCCCUUCAUUGUCAAACUACGGUCCAUCAACCCGUCUCCACCCAAUCCAAAUCGAGGUUCUGAAUCAACAAUGCCGGAAAUGAGAUUAACUUCAAAAUUUUAAGCACAAAUUUCUACUAUAAUCAUUGGUUGCAAUUUGAAAUACCUUUUAAUACAAAACAUGACCACUUAGAAAUAAGAACUGAUCGGAUGGGGGGUUAUUAUUGCUGAUUACAUUCCAUGACGGGCGUUGCUGUCGGUACGUCAACUACUUCAACUUGCUGUCUGACCGGUUUGCUGAUCCUGUUGCCGGCGGUAAAUUUAUCUUCAGCCAGAUUUUCCGAAGUUAUAUCGCCAUCUUCGUAUUUGACACAGACUUGAUUAUUCAUGCGCACUUGGCGCUUAAGAG